rnacentral:rRNA from 1 species
AUUGAACGCUGGCGGCAGGCUUAACACAUGCAAGUCGAGCGGGGAAAUAUAGCUUGCUAUAUGACCUAGCGGCGGACGGGUGAGUAAUGCUUAGGAAUCUGCCUAUUAGUGGGGGACAACAUUUCGAAAGGGAUGCUAAUACCGCAUACGCCCUACGGGGGAAAGCAGGGGAUCUUCGGACCUUGCGCUAAUAGAUGAGCCUAAGUCGGAUUAGCUAGUUGGUGGGGUAAAGGCCUACCAAGGCGACGAUCUGUAGCGGGUCUGAGAGGAUGAUCCGCCACACUGGGACUGAGACACGGCCCAGACUCCUACGGGAGGCAGCAGUGGGGAAUAUUGGACAAUGGGGGGAACCCUGAUCCAGCCAUGCCGCGUGUGUGAAGAAGGCCUUUUGGUUGUAAAGCACUUUAAGCGAGGAGGAGGUUCCUGUAGAUAAUACCUACAGUGAGUGGACGUUACUCGCAGAAUAAGCACCGGCUAACUCUGUGCCAGCCGCCGCAGUAACAC